rnacentral:tRNA from 1 species
ACUAUUUUGGCAGAUUAAUGCAGUAAAUUUAGAAUUUAUUUAAGUAAUUUUUAUUACAUAUAGUA